CCAGAAAUGCUUCUUGAGAAGCAAAAGAAUGAGAUAAAGAGGCAUGAAGCUUGGUGCAUUUAUGGGGCCUUGAUGCGUGCAGCUGGUAUAUGCUUGUAUGAUCAGCUCAAAAAGUUACCUGGUAUGCUAAUGCCACCAACAUGAGCUGUCUGGAAGAGCAAUGGAAGAGUUAUGACUAAAANGUGACUUCAUUUAGCUUCUUCCAAUGGAUUCCUGAUCCUUUUUAUACUUCCAUUUCAUGGGCGGUCAUUGCUUCCAAAUAAAUAAAGAUAAACGAAAAGCAAGCACAGACAACUUGAUGCAGCAACCACCACUGAAGAAACUUGCGACAGAUGGUGCGACGAGUGUAAUGCAGGUGAACUCCACACAAGGGGCAAUAGGUGGAUACCCCAAGGCUGCUGCGGCUUCUAGCAUGGGUAUAUCAUUAAUGUCGCAUCAGUUGCCUACUGAAAACAUAUCAGGAAGCGACAGUGGUCUGGUGUUGAAAACGUCUACUAUGCUUGCACAGGCAUGAAGGAAGACACAGAUGCAGG
rnacentral:misc_RNA from 1 species